rnacentral:rRNA from 1 species
GCGGACGGGUGAGUAACACGUGGGCAACCUGCCCUGCAGACUGGGAUAAUCCGGGAAACCGGAGCUAAUACCGGGUAAUACAUCGCACCGCAAGGUGCAAUGUUGAAAGUUGGCUUUCUGAGCUAACACUGCAGGAUGGGCCCGCGGCGCAUUAGCUAGUUGGUAAGGUAAUGGCUUACCAAGGCGACGAUGCGUAGCCGACCUGAGAGGGUGAUCGGCCACACUGGGACUGAGACACGGCCCAGACUCCUACGGGAGGCAGCAGUAGGGAAUCUUCCGCAAUGGACGAAAGUCUGACGGAGCAACGCCGCGUGAGUGACGAAGGCCUUCGGGUCGUAAAGCUCUGUUGUUAGGGAAGAACAAGUACCGUUCGAAUAGGGCGGUACCUUGACGGUACCUAACCAGAAAGCCACGGCUAACUACG